UCCCUGGUAGUCUAGUGGUUAGGACGCGGCACUUUUACCGUUGUAGCCUGGGUUCAGUCCCAGGUCUGGGAA
rnacentral:tRNA from 1 species